UACAGAGGUCUCAAGCGUUGUUCGGAUUCAUUGGGCGUAAAGGGUGCGUAGGUGGCUCGCUAAGUCUGGUGUGAAAUUUCGGAGCUCAACUCCGAAACUGCAUUUGAUACUGGCGUGCUUGAGGACUGGAGAGGAGACUGGAAUUCACGGUGUAGCAGUGAAAUGCGUAGAUAUCGUGAGGAAGACCAGUGGCGAAGGCGGGUCCCUGGACAGUCCCUGACACUGAGGCACGAAGGCCAGGGGAGCAAACGGG
rnacentral:rRNA from 1 species